rnacentral:lncRNA from 1 species
UGGAGCGGAAUACCGCAAGAAGUCAUGGGGGUAAAGGAGCGUGUUGACUGGUUGUUGAGUAGGCCUCUACCCGAAGGAGCGAUGAUAACGGCGCUGAGAGAGCGUUUGAUGAGCGGCUGGGACCAUACGCGUCUGACUGCCUUGCCAGAGGAGUACCCAUCAGAUGGGAAGCAACCGGGAGUGCAAAUGGCGAAGUAUAAGCACUGGAUGGGUCGGGAGCCGCAGCCGUCAUGUGGCCAACACAUGCUAAGGUUUUCAUUCCUCGUUUAGCACAUCGUAAGCUAAUGCAGUUUCGUCUAUGUUGCUGGGCUUUGGAGGCAAACAGAGCACGAAGGGGCAAGUACCAUGUCCC